GUGUACAUAUGUAUCCAUGCCUUGGAACCUGGUAUAUAUAGCAGUGAUUGCAUUUUAGUUCUCCUGUAUGCAGUGCAAAAAGAAGUGUAUGCAUUGGAUAAUCCAAGACAGAAUAUUCUCUGCGAUUCUCUUCAGCUUGUUCUGUGUUGGUCAGUCUUUCUGUUGACAGUUUUGUAUUUAGGUCACACAGGAGCCCUCGGGCAGCAGUAAAGCAUGUCCUCUACAGGAGUGAUUGACACCUUCUCUGAUGGUGAAUGAAGUCUCCAGCUUCUCUGGGCUCCAGCCACAGUAAUAAACCAGCGCUGCACACUGACGGAUGCAAUCAUCUUUUAUUUCCCAUUAAUGAAACAACACCUCAUUUUAUGGCCUACUGAACCGAGCAGCAUGGAUUGUGAAUUAAAUUGAGAGGUCUUCAGCCGCAGCGAUGUUAACGUCCCGUGGCUGUUCUCCAGUGAUGAGUCCAGAUGGAGGAUAUGUUGGUACCUGCCCUUCUAUUUCCAUUGCCAGCUCUCUCCCUCCAGCCCCCGGUACACCUCCACGCCAUCUGUGCCAACCUGCCGUCUCUCCGUCAGACAGUUGCAGGUUCCGCCGUGCGUGGCAGGCCUACAGCUGUGCAGACAGCCAGCCCAACAUCUGUGUGUCCUGUGGGACAGACGGGGGGGAAUGUCCCGCUGAUCUACUCAGCUGCUGCCGGCCUUAAACACAGCCACGGGCCGGCAGUUCUGUGGACGGGAGGAGUUUUGCAAUUGCCCUGUUUUAUUGCAUUGCGCCUGUAAAGUCCUGCUGGGCGUGGAUCGCUGUGUGUGGAGAGCCAAUCGCAGGCCGGCAGGCAGGUGGCGGUCAGUGGCCGAUGAGGCAGGGUGGGGUUACUGUGUCAUAAUCACAAUAAAGGAAAGGGUCAGCACUUCUUUAUUCACACACAGAAAACACACCCAAAAUCAUCCUACAAAUUACAAACUGGCAAAACGACAGACAUUUCUCACGUUUUCCUUUGAAAAGAGAUCAAAAGAGAUGCAUUAUACAGAUCAAAGUGGUUUUAUUCAGUGGACGUGCCGCUAGAGAGAAUGACAUCUGAAUGAAGACGCUGCAGCCCUGGGCCUUUCGACU